AACGAACGCUGGCGGUAUGCUUAACACAUGCAAGUCGAACGAACAAAAUUGGGGCUUGCUCCAAUUUUAGUGAGUGGCAAACGGGUGAGCAACACGUGGGAAUCUACCUAUCAGUACGGAAUAACAUUUGGAAACAGAUGCUAAUACCGUAUAUUCUCCGAGGAGGAAAGAUUUAUCGCUGAUAGAUGAGCCCGCGCAAGAUUAGGUAGUUGGUAGGGUAAUGGCCUACCAAGCCGACGAUCUUUAGCUGGUCUGAGAGGAUGAUCAGCCACACUGGAACUGAGACACGGCCCAGACUCCUACGGGAGGCAGCAGUGGGGAAUAUUGGACAAUGGGCGAAAGCCUGAUCCAGCAAUACCGCGUGAAUGAUGAAGGCCUUAGGGUUGUAAAGUUCUUUUAGUUGGAAAGAUAAUGACGGUACCAACAGAAAAAGCCCCGGCUAACUCCGUGCCAGCCGCCGCCGUAA
rnacentral:rRNA from 1 species